UUAUUUUGUGACUCUGUUUACAGGUGAAAAUUUGUUGGUUUAAGCAUUUUUCAAGGCAGAUUCUGCCAGUUUUUCGGUAGCAGUCGAACAUUAAAAGAGUCUUUGGAUUUAGGUUAAGAGGGGUAUUUUGGACAUUUGAGUUCAACACCUACCAGGUGUCUGACACGCACAGGGUUUGACAUGGAUUUCAAAGUGAAAAUUUGGUAUCAAAACGUUAGGUUAAACUCAUGUAGACUAUGCACUUGGGUGCAUUAUCGUAUUGACGGAUUCUCGUUUCUUGUAUCAGUGUCAUGAGCCCUAAACGUGGUGGUAUUUGUAGCGGGACUCGUUAGUCGUCCUGAUUACGUGGUCAUG
rnacentral:lncRNA from 1 species